AACGAACGCUGGCGGCAUGCCUAACACAUGCAAGUCGAACGAGACCUUCGGGUCUAGUGGCGCACGGGUGCGUAACGCGUGGGAAUCUGCCCUUGGGUUCGGAAUAACAGUUAGAAAUGACUGCUAAUACCGGAUGAUGUCUUCGGACCAAAGAUUUAUCGCCCAGGGAUGAGCCCGCGUCGGAUUAGCUUGUUGGUGAGGUAAAAGCUCACCAAGGCGACGAUCCGUAGCUGGUCUGAGAGGAUGAUCAGCCACACUGGGACUGAGACACGGCCCAGACUCCUACGGGAGGCAGCAGUGGGGAAUAUUGGACAAUGGGCGAAAGCCUGAUCCAGCAAUGCCGCGUGAGUGAUGAAGGCCUUAGGGUUGUAAAGCUCUUUUACCCGGGAUGAUAAUGACAGUACCGGGAGAAUAAGCCCCGGCUAACUCCGUGCCAGCAGCCGCGGUAACAC
rnacentral:rRNA from 1 species